rnacentral:misc_RNA from 1 species
GUUGAGGGAAGUCAAGUUUCCAAAGGCACUUGGAAUUGCUCCUUGAAGUUCGUUGUGUGACAAAUCGAGACUAUUGAGGGAAGUCAAGUUUCCAAUGACACUUGGAAUUUCUCCUUCAAGUUGGUUAAAUCGCAAGUCAAGGUUAUUGAGAGAAGUCAAGUUUCCCAUGGCACUUGGAAUUGCUCCUUCCAGUUCAUUGAAUGAUAAGUCAAGGCUCUUGAGGGAAGUGA